CCCAUAAUGGCCGUCAGCUCGGCGGAUCGAAAAAUUCCGUUUAGACCUUUGAGGAUCUGCUUCUUCGAUCCGCAAUAUCUAGUGCGGACUGCGUACGAUAGAUCCAAGAACUUGACGUCGAUCUUCUGAUUGCAUGUUAUGUUGGUGAGAAAGAAAGCACUGUUUGGACGUUGUUGACCUUUCGGACCCGGAAAAAGCGCUUCGACGAUAGGCAACGGAAUGAUGGUCGAAAUCGAACUGUGCAACAUGAGAACCGAAAGUUUCCUCCUUUGCUGUAUCAGCAACUUGACGCCCGAACGAUGAUGCGACGAGACUAUACUUGGAAUUGCAACGAGACGCUACUUUACCUAGCGAGGUAAACUUUAGCUAGGGAGGUAAACUUUACACUUUCGGUGCGCAGUCGUCGUUGUAUUAUUAAAUAUUUAUAUAUUUGCCGUAAAAGUAUAAUUUUUUAGAUUUAAAUAUAUAUGCAGCACAACGUGAUAUUUUCGCACUGUAUUAUAAUUUCACACUGUAAAGAAAACCGAAGUAAAUUAUCUAGCUAAUACUAUCCGUUUCGCAAAUAUAGAAAUUGAUAUAUGAUUUAAGUUACGUACGUACAUACGAGACGAUAGAGUCGUGCGCGUCACAUACGUUAUAUACGGCUGUUCUAUAUCUUGCCGUUAUCGUAGGUCAAGUACAGUUGUACCAACCGUAAUCAAGCAGAUGAUAUAUAAUCGCUUGAUCAUCACCUCUUGAAUGUAAGAUUCAAAUGUUGCCGCUGUAUUAUGAACGAUUGCAAAUUCAAUAUGUGCUUACAUCAAUCAAUAUUUACAAUAGCAAUGUCGUAAGUUCGAGCUGUUAAUUACAAAUAGAGGAAACACGUAACAGGAACUUCUUUAACUUACAUUAUGCAUGAAAAGACACAUAAGAAUUGCAGGAAAUAAAGAAAUAUGCUGCGAAAGUGAGGAUUGUAGUACCGAUAACGCUAUCGGUAACGAUAGCAAGAAUCGCAAAUCGCAAGAAUGUUUCCACCAAUUGAAGCGAAUGUUAAAUAUCAUGACGACUGUGAUGAGACGGUGCGCAAUAAAGCACCACUAAACUUAGUGUCAUUAUUGUUAGGUUUCAUUCAUGAACCGUAGGAAAUUUGUGACUCGCGAAUCUGAGGCCUACGUAAUCGUUACUCGCCCAGAUGAGAUCUCAGAUCUGAAUUUAGAGUUGAAGUUAGAUUAGUAUUUUUAUCCGGAUAAUGAAAUAUAUGUUAUAUUGCAUUUA